rnacentral:rRNA from 1 species
CCUACGGGAGGCAGCAGUGAGGAAUAUUGGACAAUGGGCGCAAGCCUGAUCCAGCCAUGCCGCGUGCAGGAAGACGCAUCUAUGGUGUGUAAACUGCUUUUGUACGGGAAGAAACACUCCUUCGUGAAGGAGCUUGACGGUACCGUAAGAAUAAGGAUCGGCUAACUCCGUGCCAGCAGCCGCGGUAAUACGGAGGAUCCAAGCGUUAUCCGGAAUCAUUGGGUUUAAAGGGUCCGUAGGCGGUUUGAUAAGUCAGUGGUGAAAGCCCAUCGCUCAACGAUGGAACGGCCAUUGAUACUGUCAGACUUGAAUUACUAGGAAGUAACUAGAAUAUGUAGUGUAGCGGUGAAAUGCUUAGAUAUUACAUGGAAUACCAAUUGCGAAGGCAGGUUACUACUAGUGGAUUGACGCUGAUGGACGAAAGCGUGGGGAGCGAACAGGAUUAGAUACCCUGGUAGUCCACGCCGUAAACGAUGGAUACUAGCUGUUCGGAGCAAUCUGAGUGGCUAAGCGAAAGUGAUAAGUAUCCCACCUGGGGAGUACGUUCGCAAGAAUGAAACUCAAAAUGAAUUGACGG